GCGGUGGAUAUGCCGGGGUGUUGGUUCUACCCUAUCACCUUAAACGAACCUAUGAAGGGGCUAUCGCCUGGGAGCGGGUCAUGCUUUGGCCUUGGUCCCUUGCCGUACGUUGACACCUUGUCCUGCAGGGUCGUUGCUUUCGGGAAUCAGGUCAGGCCAGGAAUGGAGCAGCCUUAACCAACUGUGAUAACGCUUGCGGGUUAGCAGGGCCGAGGAAAGCGAGGGAUUAACCAUUGUUAAAGUAUGAGACAAUUCCGGGCUUCCGCCGC
rnacentral:SRP_RNA from 1 species